UGGCUAUAAAAGACCACAAACAGCUGCUGCCCUUCAGAGCUAUUGACCUAGAGAUUCCUCACCUUGCUGCUUAGUGAUGUUACCUAGACAUGUUAAGAUCCCUCUUGUUAGGAAUUCCAUGAAGCCUGAAAAUGAAGCCAGCGUAGUGGAGAAUGAAGAGACAGAGUUUUGAUUACAAGGUUUGAACCGUUUAACUGAGAUCCGCCUCUGCAGGCUAUCCAUGGACUUUUAAAUUAUGUUUUUGAGACAUCUGUGGACAAAACAAAGUGCCCUGCCCUCAAGGGAGCCCACAUUCUAACAGAGCAUAUUGACAUUUUUAAAAGGAUGAGACUGUGAUGCCUGGAUGUACAGCCAUCUGUUGACCAUAAUACUGAAAGCCAACAAACUAAGAACGAUGGAGCAGAAAGAAAAAGGCUGAGUCCUUGAUUACUUUCGGCAACUGCAAAUACCAUAGAUUUGGCAUUUGCAUUAAUUUCUUGUUAUAUUAGAAAAAUGAACCCCUAUUUUCAAGCUUUAUUUAGUUUUCAAAUACUUGCAACCCACAUUCCUAAAUGAUACACAGACUUUCCUGUCAUAGAAAGAUUAUGAAGAUGAUAUAUCUUAUAUGAGAAUACUUUUUUGAAGUGUUGUUACAUAAACAAAUAUUUUGAAGCAUCUACCAAAAAUAUAUUUAAUAAAAUAUAUACAGGCAAUAUUCAUGUAGAUUUACCCACGCAUUUACCCUAUCCAUUGCUUUUUCCAAGUUUCAUCUGGAUUUGUUUUCCUUUUGCUAGAGAACACUCUUUCAUAUUUCCUUUAGUGACAAAUUCUGUCAAUUUAUAGUAGUCUGAAAAUGCUCUUAUUUUACUUCAUUUUUGAGGGAUAUCUUCAUCAGGCAUAGAAUUCUAGGUCGGUAGUAAUUUUCUUUUAGCAUUUUGAAGAUAUCACUGCAUUUAUUCUGACUUUCCUAUUUCUGUUAGGAAUUCAGCUAUAAGUUUAAUCUUAUGGCUGUUUCUUUAUAGUUUUUAUUCUGUGGCUGCUUUUAAGACUUUUUUUCUUUGAUUUUUAGUACUUUUAUCGUCACGUGCAUAGGCAUGGUUUUCUUUGUACUUUUUUCUGCUUUGAAUUUUUUUCUUUGUGGCUUUUCUGUUUGUAUAGCUAUUUUAACUAUGGUUAUUUUUAAAUCUUUGGCUGAUAACUUCAGUAUCUGGAUCUUCUGUGGAUCUGUGUCUAUUAUCUGUUUUUAUUCUUAGUUUUGUAUGAAGUCUUGUCUUGAUGUAUAUUGAGUAUGAAAAACCAUAGAGAUAAUUUGUGAUCCUGAAUGAUGUUAUCUUCUUUCACAGAGGAUUUACUUUUGCUCUGAAGGGAAUGGGCCUAGUGAUAAUAUUAAUCUAUCCAAGUAUUGAAAUUAUUAAAAGUGCCUUCAUUCCCUGUAAGUCAGUGGUUCUCAAUACUGGUUGCACAUUAGAACCACACAGGAAGCUUCAAAAAUAUGCAUGUGCCUGGACUCUACUUCAGAGAUCUGAUUCAACUGAUCUGGAGUGAAGCAUUGAUUUUUUGUGGGGGAGUAGUUUUUAAAAACAUUUUUUUGAAAUAAUUAUGGAUUCACAGGAGGUUGCAAAAAAUGCACUGAAAAGCUCACGUAGCCCUUCCCUAAAGCUUACCCCACUGAAUGCAAACAUUUCACACAACUAUAGUACAAUGUCAAAACCAAAAAACGAACAUUGGCACAAUCCAUAGAGCCUAUUCAGAUUUUACCAGUUAUACAUGGACUUGUGUACAUAUGUGUGUGUGUGUGUGUGUGUAUGUGUAGUUCUAUGCAAUUUUUUCACAUCUGUAUCCUCCCUAAAAAGCACCACAAAUGAGAUACUCAACUAUACCGUCACUCCCUGUGUUAUUCCUUUAUAGCCAUACCCAUCCUCUUUCUUUUCUAACCCCUAGCAACCACUGAUCUGUUCUCCAUUCCUGUAAUUGUUCCACGAUUGUUAGACAAAAGGAGUCAUGUAAUAUGUAUCCUUUUUUUUUGUUUUUGGUUCUUUUCACUCAGCAUAAUUUUGUAGAGAUUUUUUGAACUAUGGGGCACUGAUAAAUUUUUUAAUCUUUGUAGGUAAUUCUCAUGUUUAUCCAUGAUUGAGAACCACUGCUAUAAGGGCUGGUCUGUUUCUGGUUCACUGUUACUCUUAGAUCAUAGCCUUUAAAAGUCCCAAACAAAAGGCUGAGGUGUUUUCCAGGGUCACUCCUCCUUUGUGGGCUUUUCCUAGCUCAAGAAUCUUGCCAAAAGUUCUGCUCAACUUCUCAUGCACUUAGAUACCUUUCACUUUCAGAAUUAGCAAUUGCCUUGAAAGAAAUGGAGACGAAAUGCCCGGCUCCCCUUUGUAAACUUUCUUCUUCUUUUGGAUUCUUGGCCCUGUAAAUUCUCAUUCCCUCAGUGGCUUUCUGAUGUCUUUGAACAGAUGUUUAUUUUAUAUUUUGUCCAUUUUGUGUGAUUCUUAUCAGUGCCAGGAUUACUCCAAAAUAACCUAGCCAGCUAUUGCCAAAGAUAGAACUCUAUCUAAUAAUAUCUAAGUAAAAGUAAAAAAGAUUAGUCCUAGAGAAAAUAUAUAGACCAAAGGGAAAGUAAUCGUAAACUAUGAGGAAGAAUUGGUCAUAGAGUAUCUGAUCAUAAGGUUUUAAUAUUUGGUAUAACUAAACCAUAAAUUUGUCUGUGUUGUAUUGGGCAAUGCUUUGUUAUUAAAUUAUAGUUUCUAUUCAUCACAUCACUACAUUACACUUAAAUAAAUGAUAUUAUUUCAUAUAUUUGGUCUUGAAGGGGAAGAUGGCUAUCUCUUAAGACAAAACAUGGCAACUGAAUUCCUAAAUAAAUUAUUAAACAGAUUGAAACAAUAGGCUGAAAACAUUUUUAUUUGCAAAACUUAGUAUUUGUUAAAAGAGAAAACAUUUUCUUACCAUUCCACACUAGAUUUAAAUAGAAAAUGCCAAAUUUGGAGGACUAAGCAUAAUUUAUAUAAAACUGGAG
rnacentral:lncRNA from 1 species